GGCACUCUUCCGUGGUCUGGUGGAUAAAUUCGCAAGGGUAUCAUGGCGUGGACGACCGGGGUUCGAACCCCGGAUCCGUGAUCCAUGCGGUUACCGUCCGCCGCCCGUGCGUCGAACCCAGGUGUGCGACGUCAGACAACGGGGGAGCGCUCCUU
rnacentral:ncRNA from 1 species